rnacentral:lncRNA from 1 species
CGUGAAGCUAGCCGCCCAGAGAAGGAUGGGUAACCAACCAUCUUCAGUCUGUAUGUCUCUCCAAUGCAUCCUGAAUCACUGGGAUUCCUUUGAAAAGAGAAAAUCAACCUUCUUCUUCCUGUUUCCUCCUCUGUCCUCUCUUCAUGGAUGAAUAAUCAUGUCUCCAUACCACAGGACAUUUCCCUCUGUGAAAAGUUUAAUUUCUGCAUUAAACCACUUGGCUUAAAAAAAAAUGAACUGGGAAGACAUUAUAACUCACAUUCCCCUCUGUGAAAAGUUUAAUUUCCAUAAACCUUAAAUCACUUGACUUAAAAAAAAAAUGAACUGGGAAAACUCUAACUGAGCAAUCUCUUGAGGAAGGACAAUGUUUACAGUAUGCAAAUAACCUAUUUGUCUGCUCCCCCUUUACGGAACUCCAGGGUCAAAGGGCUUCAUAGCUCGGGGGAAGGGAACCCAGAAGCCUGACAUGCUGGCAAACGAGUAAAAGUUUUUUACCCAUCAGACUUCUGGCUUUUCUCUCUCUCUGUGCAAACUGUUUGAAUGAAUGAUAAAAAUCACUGUUUAUAUACUCUGAAACGUUGUGAUUAAUGGAAAAAGGAUUUGUGAGGUGAGUCUUAAGCUAUAGAGAAUCUGUGAUACUUUGUGUUAAGAAUUUCUCUUUCUGUAUCUUUCUAUCAGAAAGAGGGGUACCUUAGGAUAAAAUGUGGGUCUAGGCCCAAAUGUCCAACAAUGAUAGACUGGGUUAAGAAAAUGUGGCACAUAUACACCAUGGAAUACUAUGCAGCCAUAAAAAAUGAUGAGUUCAUGUCCUUUGUAGGGACAUGGAUGAAGCUGGAAAUCAUCAUUCUCAGUAAACUAUCGCAAGAACAAAAAACCAAACACCGCAUAUUCUCACUCAUAGGUGGGAAUUGAACAAUAACACAAGGACACAGGAAGGGGAACAUCACACUCUGGGGACUGUUGUAGGGUGAGGGGAGUGGGGAGGGAUAGCACUGGGAGAUAUACCUAAUGCUAGAUGACGAGUUAGUGGGUGCAGCACACCAGCAUGUCACAUGUAUACAUAUGUAACUAACCUGCACAUUGUGCACAUGUACCCUAAAACUUAAAGUAUAAUAAAAAAAAAAGUGGGUCUAGGACCCCAUAAGCCCAUUGUUCAAGUCAGCCUGACAAACUGGUCAGUAGCUAAUUUUGCUAUAGGUCUCCGAAGAAAAAAAAUGGGAUGAGGUCUCCGUUUUCUUUUACCUACUUGGGAGCUUGACCUUGUAACCACAUGGCAAUACUUUUUUGGUCUCCGCCGUUUUACAGUGGUGGCCCAGGUUCAAUCCUGGCUUAGGGAAUGAGUAUUUUCUGGUUAAUAUCUGUGUGACUUUUUCCAUUUGCUGAUUCUCUUCCCCUCCAUGAACAACUUCCAUAAUAGCUUCCUUUCUUAAAUCUUCCUUUCUCUGAGUUACCUUUAAAGAUUCUAGAUUUUGUAAAAACUGCUUACCACCUGUUUGAAAAUACCUUGUACACUCACGGUUAAGUCAUAGCCUUAGGUGAGGCUUGUUGGUUUCACCUAUGAGGUUACUUUUGGCAAAGUUUAAAAGCCAGAAAUAUUGGCCACUUGGUGUGGCUAAAGUUGGGUAAUAAGGGAUUUAAAAGGAUAUUUUUUUGAAAGAGUGUUAUGGUUGAAAGUCAGCUUAAUUAGGGCAACCCCCUUUGGGUCCCCUCCCAUUUUAUGGGAGCUCUGUUUUCACUCUAUUAAAUCUUGCAACUGCACACUCUUCUGGUCCGUGUUUGUUACAGCUUGAGCUGAGCUUUCACUCGCCAUCUACCACUGCUGUUUGCCGCCAUCACAGACCCGCUGCUGAC